rnacentral:rRNA from 1 species
GAUGAACGCUGGCGGCGUGCCUAAUACAUGCAAGUCGAGCGAACGGACGAGAAGCUUGCUUUUCUGAUGUUAGCGGCGGACGGGUGAGUAACGCGUGGAUAACCUACCUAUAAGACUGGGAUAACUUCGGGAAACCGGAGCUAAUACCGGAUAAUAUUUUGAACCGCAUGGUUCAAAAGUGAAAGACGGUCUUGCUGUCACUUAUAGAUGAUCCCGCGCUGCAUUAGCUAGUUGGUAAGGUAACGGCUUACCAAGGCAACGAUGCAUAGCCGACCGAGAGGGUGAUCGGCCACACUGGAACUGAGACACGGUCCAGACUCCUACGGGAGGCAGCAGUAGGGAAUCUUCCGCAAUGGGCGAAAGCCUGACGGAGCAACGCCGCGUGAGUGAUGAAGGUCUUCGGAUCGUAAAACUCUGUUAUUAGGGAAGAACAUAUGUGUAAGUAACUGUGCACAUCUUGACGGUACCUAAUCAGAAAGCCACGGCUAACUACGUG